CUGGCUCAGAGCGAACGCUGGCGGCAGGCUUAACACAUGCAAGUCGAGCGGGCCCUUCGGGGUCAGCGGCAGACGGGUGAGUAACGCGUGGGAACGUGCCCUUCGGUUCGGAAUAACUCAGGGAAACUUGAGCUAAUACCGGAUACGCCCUUAUGGGGAAAGGUU
rnacentral:rRNA from 1 species